rnacentral:rRNA from 1 species
GACGAACGCUGGCGGCGUGCCUAACACAUGCAAGUCGAACGGGGUCAGCCCUUCGGGACUGACUUAGUGGCGAACGGGUGAGUAACGCGUGGGUAACCUGCCUUUUAGAGGGGGACAACAGUUGGAAACGACUGCUAAUACCGCAUAAGACCACAGUACCGCAUGGUACAGUGAUCAAAGGAGCAAUCCGCUAAAAGAUGGGCCCGCGUCUGAUUAGAUAGUUGGUGGGGUAACGGCCUACCAAGUCGACGAUCAGUAGCCGGACUGAGAGGUUGAUCGGCCACAUUGGGACUGAGACACGGCCCAGACUCCUACGGGAGGCAGCAGUGGGGAAUAUUGCACAAUGGAGGAAACUCUGAUGCAGCGACGCCGCGUGAGGGAAGAAGGUAUUCGUAUUGUAAACCUCUGUCUUCGGGGACGAUAAUGACGGUACCCGAGGAGGAAGCACCGGCUAACUACGUG